rnacentral:rRNA from 1 species
AUGGUAUGGCAGGCGGCGCCGGCUGCGGAUGAGGCAGGGGAGGGGGACAAGCCCCUGACCGAACCCGUGGAGGAGGAGCUGGAGAGUCCGCGCAGGCGGCCUUGGGUGGUGGAGAAGGGGAAGGCGGCGCUGGUGGUGGAGAGUUCGAGCAGGCACAGUAAGUCGAUGGUUUCUCGGCUCGCCAAUAAGGGCAAGGCGUCUGCGGCUGAGGCGGAGAGGGGGAAGUUGGCGACGGUGGUGGAGGAGCUGGUCAAGUGUUCGCGCAAGCGGAGUAGGCCAGUGUCUUUCUGCCCCGCCCAGAAGGUGCCUACUAAGGGGAUCAAGGCCGCUGAGACUAAGGUGGCGGAUGUCGCUACGGCGGUGGGGGGGAAAGAGUGGGAUGCGAAGAUGUCCAUGGCCGAUCUUGAGCAUUUCAACCUUCUCAAGGAUUUGAACGCCGGAUCAAGGCCUUUACUUCCCAAAGUUUACAAGGUGAACGUCCAUUCUGCGCCCCCUUAUGAACUCGUUAAAGGCAAAAUGCAUGCUCCGGGUGGGAAACAGGAAUUCUACUAUUUCCAUAGCCAUCCGGCACCAGGCACGAGGGGGAGACGAUGCCGCUAUGUUGACGGUGGCGGCAUCUGGCGGCCGGAGAAUCGCACGUCAAUACUUGACGCGGACAAGUCCAUUUUGUUGCUCAAGAGAAAGCUGUCCUACGUGCUCACUGACAGUGGUGGAGUACCUGCGCGUACCGGGUGGUGCAUGGCGGAAUUCUCGCUAGAGAAUCAGCACGACAACGUCGACGAGAUGGUGUUGUGCAUUCUCUAUCGGUCUAAUCACAGCUAUCCAGAAAUAUCAACGACAGCCAGCACCUCUCUCGUCGCAGAGUUUACAUUGAUUGCGCAGGGAUGUGAUGUGGCGGAGGAGGACGGAGUAACUAUACACGAGUCACUGGGAUCGCCCGGCAGCGACAUGCCAUCUCCAGGGCAGGCCAUGGACGAGGCGGUGGGUUUGGACAAUCUCCAUGAGCGUGGAUUGGAUAAGCUGAUUGUUUCAGAAGUUUCACCAGGAGCGCAACUUGAUGUUGAGCUCCUGCAGCUCAAUGAACUCAACGACUUCCUGCUGGCACCCGUUCAAGUUGAAGCUGAGGAGGACCAUGCGGAUCUUGAUCGUCCAGACAACGAUCCGAUAGUCGAGUUCACCGUUCCGUCGCUUGAUGUUGCCGACUACCUGCAGAUGCAAAAUGGAGUAGAGUCCUACCUGCAGAUUCCCAAUGAAAUCGAUGAGAACUGUACACCUGAAGCUGAGGCCCAACAUCACCAGAAGCAGAAGCAGAAGCAGGGACUCCAGGUGGGGGUGGGCGGCAGUGAAUCUAGCAAUGCUCUGGAAGAGGUCGGCUGGGAGCUGGACGGGUUCUGGGACAGCAUACUAGAGGGCGACGACAACAUCUACGACGCUGGGGUGCGUGUAACUGAGGAGGCUGCAGGACAGGGCUACCGCAUUUCAUCUCAAGUGGCACCGUUUGUGGGCGAGCUUUUCCAGACGGAGUGGGAACCAACUGACAAUGGCCAGUACACAUUGUUGUCAGAAGGAAGAAGAAACUGCCAAAAAAAUCAGCACCCAAUCGACAGGGAAUUAGAGGGAGCAGAGCGGGCAGUGGAAGGAAACCUGCGGGAUGAGCAACUCGCGUGGGUCGGCGAUGAGGUCGAGGAAGAACUUGAUGGGCAGAAGAAGUGCAUAGGGAAGAAACAAAAAAAAUCAGCAACCAAUCAACAGAAAGCAAGAGGGAGCGAGAAGUUGAAGAACAACCUCCUGGAUGAGCAGCUCACGUGGCUCGACGGGGAGGUCGAGGAGGAGCCAGAGGGGAAGAAGAACUGCACACCCGCAGCAGACGAGGAGAAAGCAAAGAUGCUAGAGGUCGCCAACGCCGUUGAUGUGGACGGGACUGGCUGCAUCGGCCAACUUCCGCCCGGCCAUGGCACUGAAGGGAAGAAACAAGAAAAGAAAGGAAAUUCAGCAAUCAAUCAACAGAGAGGAAGAGGGAGCAACGUGCGGAUGAGCAACUCGCGUGGCUCGGUGGCGAUGUCGGGGAAGAAGGAACCACUCGUCCGCAGCAGACGAAGAGAAAGCGAGGUCGCCCGCGUCGUCGAUGUGGACGAGACCGGCUGCAUCCGCCCGGGCAUGGCACUGAAGGCCAGCUUGUUCUGCAGCAACGCCUCACCUGCGACCAACCAGAACAGGAGAGCCAAGUCAUACGGCCUGGUGAGGCUGUUCUUUGCCUGCAUCUGCAUGGUCGCCGGCGGCAUCCAGUACGCCUGGGCGCUGCAGCUCUCCCUCCUCUCCCCCUACUCUCAGGUGCCACCCAUCGUGGGUUACUACAGCGACCGGUGCACAGCGAUGAUGGGCCGGAGAAGACCCUUCAUCGUCGCGGGAUGUCUCGUCAUCUGCCUCUCCAUGAUGCUCAUCGGCUUCUCGGCGGACAUUGGGCGGCUACUCGGGGACACCAAGGAGCAUUGCACCACCAGCACGGGCCCUCGCUGGGCCGCCAUAGCUGUGUAUAUUGUCGGGUUCUGGUUCCUCAAUUUCGCCAACAAUGCCGCCCAAGGUCCGGCUCGUGCGCUGAUGGCUGAUCUCUCUGCUCAUGUCAUUCAGAUCGUCAUUAUCAUCAGUACGUCCAUCACCAUGUAUAUUGCUGAAGAGAAGCAGCUCGACAAUGCCGACGUGGAGGCCCCCUUUGGCCGACGUGGAUGCAUAUGCGGCUUUGGCGACUUCUUCAAGAGCUUGAAGAACCUUCCCCCAUCUAUGUUCAAAGUGCUCGCCGUCACGGCUGUAACCUGGCUGGCGUGGUUCCCCUUCAUCCAGUAUGGCACUGACUGGAUGGGCAGGGAGAUCUACCACGGCGAGCUGCAGGGGCCCAAGGUGGCCGUCUACUAUGCCGGCGUCCGCGAGGGCGCCGUUGGCCUGCUGCUCUCUUCUAUAUGCCUCUUGGCCGCCGCCUUCAACACCCCCCACCUUUGCGGUAGGCUCACGUCAAGGGUCGUGUGGUCCUUAAGCAACUUCAUCCUAUUUGGCAUCAUGACGGCCAUGGUGAUCCUUGGCUUGGUCUCUACCAAGGGGUACAACGCGUCUUUUACGGCUGGCCUCACCGGCCCUGACCCCAAGCUCAGGGUCAUCGCGCUCUCCCUCUUCGCGCUCAUCGGAAUCCCACAGGCCGUGUUGUUCAGUGUACCGUGGGCUGUUGCUUCUAAGCUUGCCGACGACAGUGGCCAAGGCCUCGCCAUUGGUGUCCUCAACAUUGGUGUCCUCUGUUUUACGAUUUCUCUUCGUGAAAAUUGUUUUGCGCAGGUCGGCGGUGACUGGCGUGAGGACUUGCUCGCCGCCGUGAGCGAAGCGCGGCCAUGUGAGCUGCUUGUGCUUAUGCACGCUGUACCAGCGGCUCGACCUCCCUCGAUGCCCUCCAUGACCCACAUAUCCUCCUUGUUCAUCGCCUGCGAGACGUGGCUAAUGGCGAUGCAGAGCCUCCAUUUGGCGACGCCAGAUAUGAUGGAGGGUAUUAGGCGACAGCACGGACGGCAGUGA